UGAACGCUUGCGCGGAGCCCUAGGACAUC
rnacentral:sRNA from 1 species